AGAACGGAUCUCUGCUAGAUUGCACAGAUGAUCAGAUCAGGAUAUGUCUCAUUGGUGUAGUAGUUGUUUUAGCGAUCACUUUAAUAAUUGUUAUCUCCAUUUGUAUAACGCAAUGUUGCAGAUAUGAACGACAGUUGAAGGCCACUACUACGGCAGCUUUUGAUUCCCAACAGCCGGCGCUAAGAAAGUCCGAGGUGAAGGAUCUAAUCCAAUCUGGAUGGAAGCUUAUGACAACGAGUUGUUAAAGCAGGAGCGAGAUAGAUUAAGGCAACUUUACUGAUGAUUACAGUUGUAUUGUUCCCGUUUCUAAACAUGUGAAGAAUCACUUACACAUCCGAGGCUGGUUCAGUAGUCUCAAAUCUUUUUGUCCCUAACUCUUCUCCCAUUGGCCAGUUUUUAAACCAAAACGAUCAAAUCCUGAUUUCAAAAUCCGCGGUCUUCUUCAAAUGGCCGACAAAACA
rnacentral:misc_RNA from 1 species